CAAGUAUACUUGCUGACGUCUGGCAUUCAUCGUUUACGGUGUGGACUACCAGGGUAUCUAAUCCUGUUUGCUCCCCACACUUUCGUACCUCAGCGUCAGUAUCGAGCCAGUAAGCCGCCUUCGCCACUGGUGUUCCUCCGAAUAUCUACGAAUUUCACCUCUACACUCGGAAUUCCACUUACCUCUCUCGAACUCAAGACUAGCAGUAUUAAAGGCAGUUCCAGGGUUGAGCCCUGGGAUUUCACCUCUAACUUACUAAUCCGCCUACGUACGCUUUACGCCCAGUAAUUCCGAACAACGCUAACCCCCUCCGUAUUACCGCGGCUGCUGGCACGGAGUUAGCCGGGGUUUCUUUACCAGAUACUGUCAUUAUCAUCUCUGGCGAAAGUGCUUUACGACCCUAAGGCCUUCAUCACACACGCGGCAUGGCUAGAUCAGGGUUUCCCCCAUUGUCUAAGAUUCCCUACUGCUGCCUCCCGUAGGAGUCUGGGCCGUGUCUCAGUCCCAGUGUGGCUGAUCAUCCUCUCAAACCAGCUAUAGAUCGUAGGCUUGGUAGGCCAUUACCCCACCAACUACCUAAUCUAACGCGGGCUAAUCCUUCUCCGAUAAAUCUUUCCCCCGAAGGGCGUAUAAGGUAUUACUCUCAGUUUCCCGAGGCUAUUCCUUAGAGAAGGGCAUAUUCCCACGCGUUACUCACCCGUCCGCCGCUCACCCCGAAGGGCGCGCUCGACUUGCAUGUAUUAGGCCUGCCGCCAGCGUUCGUUCUGAGCCAGGAUCAAACUCU
rnacentral:rRNA from 1 species